CUACUCUGGUAAAUCACAUCAGCUUUAUCAGAAUUUAGAAAAAUGAAUUAAACUACAACUUUUGAACAGUCAUUGUUUGUGAAGUUGCCUUUGUUAUCACUUGAUUAGUUUGCUUACUGUUGAAACAUGGUUUUAAUUUUGUAAAUUUAAUGAUAUGAAAUUUACUCUAUUAAUCAUUAGUUGACAGUUAAAGAGAAGCUGGAGCUUUACAUAAUAAAGGUAAAAAUAAUUUUGUUUACUCUUAGAUAAGAGUUGAAAGAGAGUUAGUGCAUG